AGCUUUGUGCAGUGGCAGUAUCAUAGCCAAUGAGGUUUAUCCGAGGCGUGAUUAUUGCUAAUUAAAAUAGAUACUUCUUCCCUUAGAAAUAGAAUUCAAAACUUUUUAGGACCUAACUUUCAAAG
rnacentral:snRNA from 1 species